CCUUCCGCUCUAGGGAAAAACCAGCUCCUAGGCCGUCUUCCGGCGGGAGCUGUGCCGCUCCUUAUCAUGGGGACAAUUCAUCUCUUUAGAAAACCACAAAGAUCUUUUUUUGGCAAGUUAUUGCAGGAAUUUAGACUUGUAGCAGCUGAUCGAAGGUCCUGGAAGAUACUGCUCUUUGGUGCAAUAAACUUAACAUGUACUGGCUUCCUGCUAAUGUGGUGCAGUUCCACUAAUAGUAUAGCUUUAACUGCCUAUACUUACCUGACCAUUUUUGAUCUUUUUAGUUUAAUGACAUGUUUAAUAAGUUACUGGGUAAUGAUGAGGAAACCUAGCCCUGCCUAUUCAUUUGGAUUUGAAAGAUUAGAAGUCCUGGCUGUAUUUGCGUCCACAGUCUUGGCACAAUUGGGAGCUCUCUUUAUAUUAAAAGAAAGUGCAGAACGCUUUUUGGAGCAGCCUGAGAUACACACGGGAAGAUUAUUAGUUGGUACUUUUGUGGCUCUUUCUUUCAACCUGUUCACAAUGCUUUCUAUUCGGAAUAAACCUUUUGCUUAUGUCUCUGAAGCUGCUAGUACGAGUUGGCUUCAAGAGCAUGUUGCAGAUCUUAGUCGAAGCUUGUGUGGAAUUAUUCCAGGACUUAGCAGUAUCUUCCUUCCCCGAAUGAAUCCAUUUGUUUUGAUUGAUCUUGCUGGAGCAUUUGCUCUUUGUAUUACUUAUAUGCUAAUUGAAAUUAAUAAUUAUUUUGCUGUAGAUACUGCAUCAGCCAUAGCCAUUGCUCUGAUGACAUUUGGCACUAUGUAUCCCAUGAGUGUGUACAGUGGGAAAGUAUUACUCCAGACAACACCACCCCAUGUUAUUGGUCAGUUGGACAAACUCAUCAGAGAGGUAUCUACGUUGGAUGGAGUUUUGGAAGUCCGAAAUGAGCAUUUUUGGACCCUAGGUUUUGGCUCAUUGGCUGGAUCUGUUCACGUGAGAAUUCGACGAGAUGCAAAUGAACAAAUGGUUCUUGCUCAUGUGACCAACAGGCUGUACACACUAGUAUCUACUCUGACUGUUCAGAUUUUCAAGGAUGAUUGGAUCAGGCCUGCCUUACUGUCUGGGCCUGUUGCAGCCAAUGUCCUAAACUUUUCAGAUCAUCACAUAAUCCCAAUGCCUCCUUUAAAGGGUACUGAUGAUUCCAACCCUGUUACAUCAACUCCAGCUAAACCCAGUAGUCCACCUCCAGAAUUUUCAUUUAACACCCCUGGAAAAAACGUGAGCCCAGUUAUUCUUCUUAAUACUCAAACAAGACCUUAUGGUUUGGGUCUUAAUCAUGGACACACACCUUAUAGCAGCAUGCUUAAUCAAGGACUUGGAGUUCCAGGAAUUGGAGCAACCCAAGGAUUCAGGACUGGUUUUACAAAUAUACCAAGUAGAUAUGGAACUAACAAUAGAAUUGGACAACCAAGACCAUGAUGUACUAUAAUUUAAUUUAUUUUUAUGAGGAAUAUUGACUCCUUGGCUUUCAGUUUGUUUAGUAAUCCAACGUUGCAUCGACUGUUAAAUCAUUUAAUUAGAGAAUAGUAGGUUUGUUCACAUUUCAUGAAACCAAUGAAACUAUAUUUUUGUAAAAUGUAUUUGGGGCAGUGAGAACCUUCUAAAUGUUAUAGGCUUUAAAUAGGCUUCCUUUAGAAAGCUGUUUCUCUAAAUUUGAAUUUUGCUAUCUUUGGUUUCGUAGUUGACUGCAGUGUGAUAUAACACUACCUUUAUAAGAGAGCCACUUGAUGGAGUGGAUCUGUCACAUUAUUAAAAAUAUAAUACUUUCUUCAGUGAAAUUUAUAAACAUGCUUCUUGAGUACACAUUUUAGGAAAAGAAAAAAUCCAUUUUAAAAGUAAAAGUCUCUUUUAUAGAUUUUCCAAACAUAAUUGCUACAUUUUCCUUUGAGGUCCUCCUGAAUUAUGUCUUGCAAAGUAGAAGCAAACAUUUUUAUCAGAAAUUUUAAAACAUAUUUUACCAUCUGGCACAAUUUAAAAUUUUUACUUAUCAGUUUUUUAAUAGUUUUUCUCAUUAAAAAAUUUCAGUACAUUUGUAAGUGGCCCAUCAUUCUCAAAGUGUUUUAUUUUGGUUAAAUAAUACCAAAUCCUUAGGUGAUAUGCAGUGAAGGAAUCCCAGUUUUCUGUCUUACAUUUAACCAAAUACUGACAUAAUGAUAGAUUUAUCUUUUUUGUCACCUUUUCAUUGGUUGACUUUAAUUCCUCAUUUUAUUAACAAAAUAUAUCACAUAUAUUACCAAAAUAGGUGGAAUUCCAUACGCAGUAAUACGUUUAAUCUUUUUUCAAAGUUGCAUGAACAAUUUGAGUUUACAUUAUAUAAUUUUACCAAAACAUAGUGGACCCUAGGUUAUAGAAUACAGUAUUGUUAUAUCUGCAUUAGGCAGUUUCUAACUUACUUUGUUUUGCUUUAUUGAAAAGUGAAUCAAAGUGUGAGAAUCAUGUAAAUUAUUUUUAAAUUAUUUUCCAAAUGCAAAUGUUAAGGACUUUCUAACAUGGCCAGCAUUACUUAUAAAAAGUAUAACAAGCAGCCAUCACAGAUUACCUAUGAGAUUUUUUUUUCAUUUUAUCAUGAGUUUUAUAAUUAGGUUUUAAAAACGGAUUUUGAGAGUGGAUUCAACUUUUCUAGAAUCCAGUACUCCUGAAGAUUUCUGACAUUUCCAGCCAUCAGCAGCUAUCUAGAGAAGAUUUUUUUUUUUUUAGAUUUUGCAAGUUUCUUCAAUAAACUCAUCCUCUUUUAAAUAUGAGCAACACUCCCAAAUCCUGUUUCUUUACAGUAGAAUCAUAAACAUCUAAGAAGCCAUCUCUGUCAAGCAGAAUUGUAGUCAUCCUGUGAUAAGUGACAAUGUCCCAAAUAACUUUUGCUUGAUGAGGAGUUGAUCAUUGUCUUUGACAUCUGCAACCCUGUUCAGGCACUUGACCUGCUGAAGAAAUAGAGCCCACGCUACCUUGACUGCCGGGGAAAGUGAAACUUUGUAAAAUGUGAUAAGGCAACCUGUUCCUUGACAUUUGUCUUAUGUUCUCCAACUAUUACUAUACCUAUUAUUGGUCUACUAUUACAGGGUGAUUUUUCCUCCAUUGACCUCAUCUAAACGUGAAUUCGGGUCAUGCAUGAAAUCUGAAGAACUGCCGUGUACUGAGUGAUGAUUAAGAGGAAGAAGAGCAGAGAACCUAGGACCAAGUUUUAAGAGAAAUUUGGAGCAUUUAAUAUCUAUGUAGAGGAAUUGCCAUUGCAAAGGACACUGAGAAGUAACCAAGGUAGCAUGGAAGUCAAGAGCACAUUUCAAAAAGGAGGGGGAGUGCUCAAUGUCAACUUUUACACAGGUAAGUGAAACACUGGAAAAUUUCCAUUGAAUUAAGACACAUGCAGGUGUGUAGAGAAUCAGCUGGAAUGAGUAGGAAGCAGAGGAUGAUCAGGAAGUGGAGAUGUACGGAGGGUACAUAAAUUUUUGCCUCGAAGGGAAAGACAGGGGUUGAUAGAUAGCCAUAGUAGGAAGAUAGGAGUCAGGAAGAGUUUUAUUUAAAAUGAGAGAGAUUUGAGCAUCUUUAAAAACUGAUAGAUAAUGAAAAAAAAAACUGAUAGGAAAGAGUCAGUAAAGAGGGGCAUAAUAGGUGAAAUGAUGUCCUUGAACAGGAAUGAGGGCAGGGCUGGGAUCUGAAGCACAGCUAGAGCACAGAGACUGCCCUUAGAUAGGAGGGGAGAGACCUACUAUAAUGCAACAGGAGGAGAGAGGGAAAAAAGAAUCACAUCCACUGUGAAAUAGUGGAAGACUGGUGGAUUAAGGAGAAUAAAGUUUGCAAUUGUUUAUUUAGAGAGUGCUGCAUACAGAGGCACAGUAAGAUUGCCAGGAAAUGUUGAGAGAUUGUGUUUAUUGUUUUAAUGGACCUCAUGUAUUCAGAAUUGGAUAGGUCACUAAUUUCACCUGUUCACUCAUGAAUCUGUCGCUUGGCCUGAGAAUAAGAACAUGGGUAAAAACUAGGAUCUACUAGUUCCCCCUAUUGUACACAUCUGCCACCUUCUGACCCAAAGAAACUACUAUUCUGAUGUAGAGUUUAUCAUUCUUUUGUAUUUUUAAAAAUGUGGUUUUGACAAGCACUCUAUGUCUAAAAAAUACAUUGCUUAGGAUAUACUUCUAUGGACUUUUGGGGGAGAUAUAAUACACAUACCAUAAAAUUCACCCUUUUAAAGUGUAACUGUAGUGGGUUUUAGUAUAUUCACAAAGUUGUACACUACUAUAUAAUUCCAGGACAUGUUAAUCAUCCCCAAGAAUAAACUCCACAGUCACUAGCAUUCAUUCCCACCCUACACCCGACAUUGGCAACCAUUAAUCUACUUUCUGUUACUAUAGAUUUGCCUAUUUUGGACAUUUCAUAUAAAUGGAGUCAUACCAUAAUGUGGUCUUUUGUGACUGGUUUCUUUCACUUAGUAUGAUAUUUUCAAGGUUCAUCCAUGUUAUAGUGUAUUCUAAUACUUCAUUCUUUUUAUGGCUGAAUAAUACUCUAUUAUAUGGAUAUAUCACAUUUUGUUUAUCCAUUCAGUAGUGAUGGACAUUUGGGUUGUCCAAACAUGCUAUGAACAUUGCUGUACAAGUUUUUGUAUGGAUAUAUAUUUUCAUUUUCUCUUGGGUACCUCAGGGUGCAAUUGGUAACUCUAUGUUUAACCUUUUGAAGAGGUGCCAGAAUGUUUUCCUACUCGAAAAUUGAAUGUUUCCAAUUUCUCUUAUGUCCUUGUCAACACUUAUUACCUGUUUUAUCUUUUUUUUUUUUUUUUUUUUGCUCUAUGCGGGCCUCUCACUGUGGGGCCUCUCCCGUUGCAGAGCACAGGCUCCGGACGCACAGGCUCAGCGGCCAUGGCUCACGGGCCCAGCCGCUCCACGGCAUGUGGGAUCUUCCCGGACCGGGGCGCGAACCCGUGUCCCUUGCAUCGGCAGGCGGACUCUCAACCACUGCGCCACCAGGGAAGCCCGUACCUGUUUUAUUAUAACUGUCCUAGUGGGUUGCAAGAGGCAUUUCACUGUGGCUUUGAUUUGCAUUUCCCUGAUGGCUAAUGAUGUUGAGCAUCUUUUCUGAUGCUUAUUAGCCAUUUAUGUAUCUUCUUUGGAGAAAUGCCUAUUCAGAUCCUUUGCCUUUUCUAAACAUUGAGUUGUCUUUUUAUCAAUGAGUUGUAAGAGUUCUUUAUAUAUUCUAGAUAGUAGUCCCUUAUCAGAUAUGUGAUAUGAGUAAGCCACUACAAACAUACAUGUGCUUAUGUCUCCAUUUUGAUUAAUGAAAUUAUUUGUGUUGCUCUGUUUUUUCUUGAUCAGUCUUGCUUAAUUUUUAUCUAUUUUGUUACUCGUUUUAAAGAACCAACUUUAAGCUUUACUAAUCUUUUUUAAUUGUAUUUUUGUUUUCUAUUUCAUUGAUUUAUACUCUUAUGUUUAUUGUAUUGGGGUUUACUCUGUUUUUCUGGCUUCUUAAAUUAGAAACUUACUAAUUUUCCAGCCUUUUCUAAUGUAAGUAUUUAAGACGAUGAGAAUUUUAUUCAAGCCCUGCUUUUGCUGCAUACCACAAGUUUCGUUAUAUAAUGCUUUCUUACCAUUUGCUCUAAAUAUUUUUGUUGAAACUUGUCACUAUAAACUUGUAGUGUACCUAUCUGCCAAAUUGUGUGAUUUUCCCCAGUAACCUGAGUGUAGGUACAGAAAAAGUGGAAAAUUAAGGACAAUCCAGGUUUUCAGUUUUGCCAGCAAAUACACUGUAUCUAAUUUCAUACUUUUCCACCACAUCUCAUUUUCUCCCUGCAUCUCAUUAAGUAGUCUUUCUUUAUUUAGAGACUCCACCUCUCAUUAUACUUUCUUCAUUUCACUAUUGCAUCUAUCACACACAUCCAUCACUAACUGUCAUUGCCUACAUUGACUUGUAAUACUGUGGGCCAUGAGAGUUUCAGCUAUUGUGACAAGAAUGUUUGCAGGAUGAAGGGUGGAAUUUAAACUAAGUAGGAAGGGAAGUCGAGAUAGACAGGGGCUAUUCAGUAAGUAGAUAGUAGUGAACUCAACAGACUGGAAGUCCCAAUGAAGUAAAAUGAACUGGUGAUGAGUCAUUGAGUAACCAGGAUGGAAAUUUAGAAGGUUGUUGUUUGAGAAUGGAUUAUCUGAAUUUAAUAUCUCAGAGGUAGAACAAUUUUAAGUGGAAUUAUCAUAAUCUGAUAAUUCCAUGCUCACAGAUGGGUGAAGGAGAAUGGAAGAGAAGGACCAAAGAGGAGGUUCCUGAGUGUUGCCUGAGUAGCUUCACAGAAGGAGUGAAGUCUUCUAGGUGGAUGACCAGAGUUAGAGGGUGAGGAAUUCUGUAAGACAGUUGCCAAAGGCUUCAGUGAAUAAGAAAAGGUGACAAGAAGUUCAGAAUUCAUAGCAAUAACAAAGGACAAACCAUAGUCCAGUUAAAUGACCUAAGCUUCAUGGGAGUAGGAAUCCUUAAUGAGGUUGGAGGAGUGGACUAGAAGGGCAGAAUGAGAAUCAAGGAGAACCUGACCUUGCCUUUGAACUCUGAGAGGCAUAAAAGUCAAGAAAAUAAAAAGUGACUAAAGAGAGCUGUAGGGGAGAACCAGGUUUCAGUUAGGACCAGGAGGUGUCUAAAACCUUUGGUAAAAAGGUACUUUUCUGAAAAUACUCCCUAUGUCUCCAGUGCAUCUCCCCUACCCUGUAUCUCAUUAAAUACUUCCUAUGACAUAUUUCCUCCUUACUUCUUCCUAUGUAGCCCUUAUUUCAUUAGACUCCCCAUCUCUUAUUACCAGUCUGCAUUUUCUUAUCCCAUCUCCAGGCAUAUUGCAUCUCAUCCAUCACAUAUACCAUCACUAAAUGGGGAUGGGAAUCCCAAAGCCAGGUCUGAUCCAGGAGAGGUGUUAUGGACCAGAGCCAGGAAACUUAUGCUAGAGGCUUGAACAAUUGGUUGGUUCAGAUAUAGUAAAGAGGUUGUGAAAUCAUACAAGUGUAUUUUAGAAUUUUUGGUUGAUUUUAUAUAUAAGAAAAUAGCAUUUACUAUAAUUGGGUUUCUAAGAACCCAAGCUAGCCUAUAUUUCAUGGCAAAUUGCGGAAGUGCUGUAAGUUAAUUUGUUCAUUCAUACAACAAAUAUUUAUUGAGUUUGGGAUAUAUACUCAAUAGCAAGUCUAAUGGCCUGGGCCUGUUCUCAAAGACCUCACAGUUUAGUGGGGCAGACAGACAUAUGAAUACAUUCUCUAAAUUCAAAUGGUAAGUGCUCUAAUAAAAAUAAAUUCCUGUAUAUAAUAAUGAAAACCACUGUUUUUUAAAACCUGAAUUGAAUAUAAGAACAUUGGAAGACUGACGUGUACUAAAGCUGAACAUAUUCUUACCUAUAAUCUUUACCUGUAAUCCAAACCCACUCCUACAUAGAUACCAAGCAGAAAUGUGGCCAUUUGUUCACCAAAAGAUAUAUACAAGGUUGUUCAUAGCAGCACUAUUCACAAUAUUCAAAAACUAAAAGUUACUCAAAUUAUCAACAGUAGAAUGGGAAAAUCAGUUGAGGUAUGUUCACACAGUAGAAGAUUUUACAACAAUGAGAAUGAAUGAACCAUGACUACACAUAAUAAUAUGGAUGAAUUUCACACACAUGAUGUUCAACCAAAGAAAACACAAAAGAAUACAUACUACAUGAUUCCAUUUAUAUAAAAUUCAAAAACAGUCAAGACCAAUCUAUGAUGUUAGAAGUCCGGAUAGCAGUUACCCUUGGGAGAAGGGAGCUAUAAAGCUGACAAUCUUCUGUUUCUUGAUCUGGGUACUAGUUACAUGGGUAUGUGAACCUUAUGAAAAUUCCUUGUACUAUCUACUUAGGAUUUGUACACUUUUCUGUGGGUAUGUUAUACUUCAAUUUAAAAAGUACAAAAACAAAAUGAACCCUAAUUCUGGCUUCAUCUGCCUUUUAACAUGAUUCAUAUUAUGGAGGAAAUAAAUCUUUUCUUCUCUUUGAUGUUUAUAGAGCCCAGUGGUGGAGAGGUAGAGGAGAGACCUGGAACUGAAGCCUGUUGUUUAUAGAGCACAUUAAUAUGUCUUUGGCUAUGUGAAGGAAGGUCCUGAACUGAGCUUGGGCUUAGGGUGCUAGAUAUAAUUGAAUUACUCAUCAUAAUAACAUGGAGGGAUUUUUUGUUUGUUUGUUUGUUUUGGAUUGCUGGGGUCUGUAAGAGAUGGGGAUGGAGGAAGACAGGGCAGUUGACAGGCAACUAGAGCCUGAAUUGGCAGAAAUGUUCUUGCAUCUCAUUGGGAAUGGGGAAGUGCCAAUAUUAAAUUUAAUCUGCUAUUCAGAACUAUCAUGUAAUCCCACCCUUCCCAAUUACUUAUAAGCAUUCAGUAAAUCUGCUACAUCUAUAAUUAUACUGGGGCCUUCCAGUAGAAAUUAAGGAUAAGUGACUGUUCUACCGAUCUGAGUCACUUGGAGCAGCGGUCCCCAACCUUUAUGGCAUCAGGGACUGGUUUUGUGGAAGACAAUUUUUCCACGGACAGGGGAGCGGGUGUGGGUUGGUGGGUGGAGAUGGCUCAGGCAGUAAUGGGGAGCGGUGGAUGAAGCUUUGCUCACUGGCCCGCCCCUCGCCUCCUGCUGUGCGGCCCAGUUCCUAACAGGCCAAGGACCAGUACUGGUCUGCAGGCCCGGGGGUUGGGGACCCCUGACUUGGAGGACAGGGAAAGGAAUCACUGCAGGAGGCAAGAUUACACAGAUCUAGAGUCACACAAGAGCAGAAAUGCAGAGCCAGAAAUGACCACGGAAACAGAAGCCCUGGAUCCAGGAUAUGGAUUAGAGCAGUGGGGGUUUUUUUAAUAACCAUUUUUAAAAUUGAAGUAUAGUUAAUUUACAAUGUUGUGUUAGUUUCAGGUGUACACCAAAGUGAUUGUUCUAUAUAUAUAUAUAUAUGUAUGUAUAUUUUUUCUUUCUCAGAUUAUUUAACAUUAUAUGUUAUUACAAGAUAUUGAAUAUAGUUCCCUGUGUUGUACAGUAGGUCCUUCUUGCCCAUCUAUUUUAUGUAUAGUAGUGUGUAUAUGUUAAUCCCAAAUUCUCCCCCUGUCCCCGCUGUCCCCUUUGGUAACCAUAUGAUUGUUUUCUAUGUUUGUGAGUCUAUUUCUAUUCUGUAAAUAAGUAUUUGCAUCAUUUUUUUAGAUUCCACAUGUAAGUGAUAUCAUAUGAUAUUUGUCUUUCUCUGACUUACUUCACUUAAUAUGAUCAUCUCUAGAUCCAUCCAUGUUGCUGCAAAUGGCAUUAUUUCAUGCUUUUUAUGGCUAAGUAAUAUUCCAUUGUAUAUAUGCACCACAUCUUCUUUAUGCGUUCAUCUGUCAAUGAACAUUUAGGUUGUUUCCAUGUCUUGGCUUUUGUAAAUAGUGCUCUGAACACUGGGGUGCAUGUAUCUUUUUGAAUUAGAGUUUUCUCAGGAUAUAUGCCCAGGACUAGGAUUGCUGGAUCAUAUGGUAACUCUAUUUUUAGUUUUUAAAGGAACCUCCAUACCGUUUUCCAUAGUGGCUGCACCAACUUACAUUCCUACCAACAGUGAAACAGGGUUCCUUUUUUGGAUAAGUGCUUUUUCUUAAGCUUCAGGGUAUCCCCUCCUUUAGAGGAACAUGAGAUGAAUUUAAUGGAUUGCAAUCAGCAUUUGUUUUAAGUGAAAUUGGAUAGAUAGUAAGAAUAGAAAAUAACAGAGUGUAUCACACAUAGCAAAAGAUAAUUACUUUCUGUGAAACUUUAAAAAUGUAUAUGUAUGUGUGUACUGGAUCAUGAGAUAAAAUGUAUUUUUAAAAUGUGGGUCCUAGUCAAAAAAAGUUCAGAAGACUCAGGACAAGAGGCUUAAAACAACCAUCUAGGUUAUGUGUAGCGGUGCAGAAGAGAGAGCAUAAGGAGACUGUUUCACCAAGAAGGAGAUAUGUCAGCUUGGUCUUAAAGGACUAUAGGAGGAGGUGAAGGACUUCCUAGAGGGAGUGCAUAUACAAAGGCAUUUCUGGGAACUAGCAACAGUUCCAUGAGGAUGGAACCUCACAUAGGUGGGGAGGCAUGCAGAAGAUGAAGGUGGAGAGGAAGGUGUAUUGAAACACUGUUAUAAAGGGUCUUAUACAUCAGAAGCGAGCGGGCUAUAUUUUAUUUUGCAGGCAAAGGAAGAUCUUUUUUAAAGGAAAAUGACCCUAGCAUCUGGUUCCCCUUGAAGCCCGCCAGAGGAUAAUGAUCAUGGUACCAUUUAUUGAGCAUAUACAGUGGGUCAGUGUUGAACUUCUUACUUAAUAUGCAUUAGCUCAAUUACGGAUUAGCACAAUAACCUCUCAUAUGGUAGACAUCAUAAUUUUCCCCAUUUGACAGAUGAGCAAACUGAGGCUCAGAGACUUCACGUUGCUGCAGACCAUACCUCUAUCAAGCAGAAGGGAUGGGCAGGUCUGUCUGACUCCAAAACAAAUGCACCUAACCACUUCAUAAUGAUAGAGCCUCUAGAGGGGCCUGACAGAUAGCAGUCUUAUCACCUGGCUAGAGACCAAAGGCAGAGAAUGCUUGGCUUUCACUCUUCACUCUUAUGCCUCAAGCCCAAGUAGACUGCUUUUUAUACCUCUGGGAGGUGGAGGAAAUGGCUGGAGGGGAGCCAUGCCAGCACCUACACUCUCUCCCUCCUUUCAUCAACUCUUCUGUCUCUAACCCUCUCCCUGCUUCAGUAUGAGAACCUUCUGAUGUCCCUGUUUCUUUAUAAAACAGGGAUAAUAAUGUUAGGUUUUAUUAGAUAUAUAAUGAUAAUUCCACAAAUUCUUUUUAAAAACACUUUGAGAACAAAUUAGCGACUACUAUUGAGGGUUCAUUUAGUCAUUUUUUUCACUUGCAUUUUGGGGUACAUCAUAACAGCUAAAUUUCCAAGAGUCAGCUGUCUUCUGUUUAAAUUUCUCAUUUACAUAUGGAAGCGAUUAGCCACUAGGCUAUUAAAGUAAAAUGGCAAAUCACUGCCUAGCUUAGUUCUUAAUAAACACACCAUCUCCUUCUCUGGUCUCGAUGGCCAGCCUCAGAAGUGGGCAAAUUAAGCAACUACCUACUUAAAGAUUUCAAAGAUGGUAAAAGGUCUUUACCUAAAAAUGCCUCCCCCACCUGUAAUUCUAAUUCUACACACUCCCCAACAGCCUCCUUGAAGAAAAGACAUAUCCUUUCCAACUUGCUUUAGGUAUGAGGUUACCUGAGAGGGAUUAUUAGCUAACUAAUUAGUCUGUCACAGAAGGCACCUGCUUCCAACAUCAACUGGAAUGGCAGGGAAGCCUGAAAGAAUGACAGCCAAGAUGAUAUGAUUUGGUGGGUUAAGGAAAGUGAGGGGGUAGAGGAGGUGGAAGUAGAGUUAGAAAUUAAGGGAAGGAAAGAUCCAUAACUUGGAGCACCACUAAGAAAGGCAAAACCAUUGGGCAGGCCUCUCCAGGAGACUCUGCAAGACCAGCAGCCAUGUGGCUGACAGGGUCUUGGUGCUCCAGUCAGCUGUCAGGCCUGUGCCUCUGAGGUGCGAGAUCUGAGUUCAGGACAUUCGUCCACCAGAGACCUCCCAGCUCCAUGUAAUAUCAAAUGGCAAAAGCUCUCCAAGAGAUCUCCAUCUCAACGCCAAGACCCAGCUCCACUCAACAACCAGCAAGCUACAAUGCUGGACGCCCCAUGCCAAACAACCAGCAAGACAGGAACACAGCCCUACCCAUUAGCAGAGAGGCUGCCUAAAAUCAUAACAAGGUCACAGACACCCCAAAACACACCUGCAGACACAGUCCUGCCCACCAGAAAGACAAGAUCCAGCCUCAUGCACCAGAACACAGACACCAGUCCCCUACACCAGGAAGCCUACACAACCCACUGAACCAACCUUAGCCACUGGGGACAGACACCAAAAACAACAGGAACUAUGUACCUGCAGCCUGUGAAAAGGAGACCCCAAACACAGUAAGCUAAGGAAAAUGAGAAGACACAGAAACACACAGCAGAUGAAGGAGCAAGGUAAAAACCCACCAGACCAAAAAAAUGAAGAGGAAAUAGGCAGUGUACCUGAAAAAGAAUUCAGAGGAAUGAUACUAAAGAUGAUUCAAAAUCUUAGAAACAGAAUGGAGAAAAUACAAGAAACGUUUAACAAGGACAUAGAAGAACUAAACAGCAACAAACAAUGAUGAACAACACAAUCCAUGAAAUUAAAAAUUCUCUAGAAGGAAUCAAUAGCAGAAUAACUGAGGCAGAGCGGAUACGUGACCUGGAAGAUAAAAUAGUGGAAAUAACUUCUGCACAGCAGAAUAAAGAAAAAAGAAUGAAAAGAAUUGAGGACAGUCUUAGAGACUUCUGGAACAACAUUAAACGCACCAACAUUCGAAUUAUAGGGGUCCCAGAGGAAGAGGAAAAGAAAGGAACUGAGAAAAUAUUUGAAGAGAUUAUAGUUGAAAACUUAUAUGGGAAAGGAAAUAAUCAAGUCCAGGAAGCGCAGAGAGACCCGUACAGGAUAAAUCCAAGGAGAAACACACCAAUACACAUAUUAAUCAAAUUAUCAAAAAUUAAGUACAAAGAAAAAAUAUUAAAAUCAGCAAGGGAAAAACAACAAAUAACAUACAAGGGAAUCCCCAUAAGGUUAACAGCUGAUCUUUCAGCAGAAACUCUGCAAGCCAGAAGGGAGUGGCAAGACAUAUUUAAAGUGAUGAAGGAGAAAAACCUACAACCAAGAUUACCCAGCAAGCAUCUCAUUCAGAUUUCAUGGAGAAAUUAAAACCUUUACAGACAAGCAAAAGCUAAGAGAAUUCACCACCACCAAACCAGCUUUACAACAAAUGCUAAAGGAACUUCUCUGGUCAGGAAACACAAGGGAAGGAAAAGACCUACAAUAACAAACCCAAAACAAUUACGAAAAUGGUAAUGGGAGCAUACAUAUGGAUAAUUAGCUUAAAUGUAAAUGGAUUAAAUGCUCCCACCAAAAGACAUAGACUAACUGAAUGGAUACAAAAACAAGACCCGUAUAUAUGCUGUCUACAAGAGACCCACUUCAGACCUAGGGACACGUACAGACUGAAAGUGAGGGGUUAGAAAAAGAUAUUCCAUGCAAAGGGAAAUCAAAAGAAAGCUGGAGUAGCAAGUCUCAUAUCAGACAAGAUAGACUUUAAAAUAAAGACUAUUACAAGAGAAAAAGGACACUACAUAAUGAUCAAGGGAUCAAUCCAAGAAAAAGAUAUAAUGAUUGUAAAUAUUUAUUCACCCAACGUAGGAGCACAUCAAUACAUAAGGCAAAAGCUAACAGCCAUAAAAGGGGAAAUUGACAGUAACACAAUCAUAGUAGGGGACUUCAACACCCCACUUUCACCAAGAUCAUCCAAAUCUUGGUGAUCAUCCAAAAUGAUCAUCCAAAAUGAAAAUAAAUAAGGAAACACAAGCUUUAAAUGAUACAUUAACUAAGAUGGACUUAGUUGACAUUUAUAGGCCAUUCCAUCCAAAAACAACAGAAUACACUUUCUUCUCAAGUGCUUAUGGAACAUCCUCCAGGAUAGAUCAUAUCUUGGGUCACAAGUCAAGCUUUGGUAAAUUUAAGAAAAUUGAAAUCAUAUCAAGUAUCUUUUCCAACCACAAUGCUGAGACUAGAUAUCAAUUACUGGAAAAAAAUCUGUAAAAAAUACAAACAUGUGGAGGCUAAAUAAUACACUGCUUAAUAACCAAGAUAUCACUGAAGAAAUCAAAGAGGAAAUCAAAAAAUACUUAGAGACAAAUGGCAAUAAAAACACGACAACCCAAACCUAUGGGAUGCAGCAAAAGCAGUUCUAAGAGGGACGUUUAUAGCAAUACAAUCCUACUUCAAGAAACAAAAAACAUCUCAAACAACCUAACCUUACAGCUAAAGCAAUUAGAGAAAGAAGAACAAAAAAACCCCAAAGUUUGCAGAAAGAAAGAAAUCAUAAAGAUCAGAUCAGAAAUAAAUGAAAAAGAAAUGAAGGAAACGAUAGCAAAGAUCCAUAAAACUAAAAGCUGGUUCUUUGAGAAGAUAAACAAAAUUGAAUAACCAUUAGCUAGACUCAUCAAGAAAAAAAAGGCAGAAGACUUAAUAGAAUUAGAAAUGAAAAAGGAGAAGUAACAGCUGACACUGCAGAAAUACAAAGGAUCAUGAGAGAUUACUACAAGCAACUAUAUGCCAAUAAAGUGGACAACCUGGAAGAAUUGGACAAAUUCUUAUAAAAGCACAACAUUCUGAGACUGAACCAGGAAAAAAUAGAAAGUAUAAACAGACCAAUCACAAGCACUGAAAUUGAGACUGUGACGAAAAAUCUUCCAACAAACAAAGGCCCGGACCAGAUGGCUUCACAGGCGAAUUCUGUCAAACAUUUAGAGAAUAGCUAACACCUAUCUCUCUCAAACUCUUCCAAAGUAUAGCAGAGGGAGGAACACUCCCAAACUCAUUCUACGAGGCCACCAUCACCCUGAUACCAAAACCGGACAAAGAUGUCACAAAGAAAACUACAGGCCAAUAUCACUGAUGAACAUAGAUGCAAAAAUCCUCAACAAAAUACUAGCAAACAGAGUCCAACAGCACAUUAAAAGUAUCAUAUACCAUGAUCAAGUGGGGCUUAUCCCAGGAAUGCAAGAAUUCUUCUAUAUACACACCAAUCGGUGUGAUAAACCAUAUUAACAAAUUGAAGGAGAAAAACUAUAUGAUCUUCUGAAUAGAUGCAGAAAAAGCUUUCGACAAAAUUCAACACCCAUUUGUGAUAAAAACCCUCCAGAAAGUAGGCAUAGAGGGAACUUACCUCAACAUUAUAAAGGCCAUAUCUGAGAAACCCACAGCCAACAUUUUUGUCACUGGUGAAAAACUGAAACCAUUUCCUCUAAGAUCAGGAACAAGACAAGGUUGUCCACUCUCACCACUAUUAUUCAACACAGUUUUGGAAAUUUUGGUCACAGCAGUCAGAGAAGACGAAGAAAUAAAAGGAAUCCAAAUCAGAAAAGAAGAAGUAAAGCUGUCACUGUUUGCAGAUGACAUGAUAUUAUACAUAGAGAAUCCUAAAGAUGCUACCAGAAAACUACUAGAGCUAAUCAAUGUAUCUGGUAAAGUAGCAGGAUACAAACUUAAUGCACAGAAAUCUCUGGCAUUCCUAUACACUAAUGAUCAAAAAUCUGAAAGAGAAAUUAAGGAAACACUCCCAUUAACCAUUGCAACAAAAAGAAUAAAAUACCUAGGAAUAAACCUACCUAAGGAGACAAAAGACCUGUGUGCAGAAAACUAUAAGACACUGUUGAAAGAAAUUAAAGGUGAUACAAACAGAUGGAGAGAUAUACCAUGUUCUUGGAUGGGAAGAAUCAACAUUGUGAAAAUGACUCUACUACCCAAAGCAAUCUACAGAUUCAAUGCAAUACCUAUCAAACUACCACUGGCAUUUUUCACAGAACUAGGACAAAAAAAUUCAUAAUUUUUAUGGAAACACAAAUGACCCCAAAUAGCCAAAGCAAUCUUGAGAAAGAAAAAUGGAGCUGGAGGAAUCAGGCUCCUUGACUUCAGACUAUACUACAAAGCUACAGUAAUCAAGUCAAUAUGAUACUGGCACUGAAACAGAAAUAUAGAUCAAUGGAACAGGAUAGGAAGCCCAGAGAUAAAGCCAUGCACAUAUGGUCACCUUAUUUUUAGUAAAGGAGGCAAGAAUAUACAAUGGAGAGAAUACAGCCUUUUCAAUAAGUGGUGCUGGGAAAACUGGACUGCUACAUGUAAAAGAAUGAAAUUAGAACACUCCCUAACACCAUACACAAAAAUAAAUUCAAAAUGGAUUAAAGACCUAAAUGUAAGGCCAGACACUAUCAAACUCUUAGAGGAGAACAUAGGCAGAACACUCUAUGACAUAAAUCACAGCAAGAUCCUUUUUGACCCACCUCCUAGAGAAAUGGAAAUAAAAACAAAAAUAAACACAUGGGACCUAAUGAAACUUAAAAGCUUUUGUACAGCAAAGGAAGCCAUAAACAAGAUGAAGAGACGACGCUCAGAAUGGGAGAAAAUAUUUGCAAAUGAAGCAACUGACGAAGGAUUAAUCUCCAAAAUUUACAAGAAGCUCAUGCAGCUCAAUAUCAAAAAAACAAACAACCCAAUCCAAAUAUGGGCAGAGGACCUAAAUAGACCUCUCUUCAAAGAAGAUAUACACAUUGCCAACAAACACAUGAAAGGAUGCUCAACAUCACUAAUCAUUAGAGAAAUGCAAAUCAAAACUAGAAUGAGGUAUCAUCUCACACGAGUCAGAAUGGCCAUCAUCAAAAUAUCUAGAAACAAUAAAUGCUGGAGAGGGUGUGGAGAAAAGGGAACCCUCUUGCACUGUGGGUGGGAAUGUAAAUUGAUACAGCCACUAUGGAGAACAGUAUGGAGUUUCCUUAAAAAAUUAAAAAUAGAACUACCAUACAACCGCAAUCCUGCUACUGGGCAUAUCCCCUGAUAAAACCGUAAUUCAAAAAGAGUCAUGUACCACAAUGUUCAUUGCAGCUCUAUUUACAAUAGCCAGGACAUGGAAGCAACCUAAGUGUCCAUGGACAGAUGAAUGCAUAAAGGAGAUGUGGCACAUAUAUACAAUGGAAUAUUACUCAGCCAUAAAAGGAAGCAAAAUUGAGUUAUUUGUAGUGAGGUUGAUGGACCUAGAGACUGUCAUACACAGUGAAGUAAGUCAGAAAGAGAAAUCAGAUACUGUAUGCUAGCAUAUAUAUAUGGAAUCUAAAAAAAAAAAAAAAAAAAGGUUCCAAAGAACCUGUGGGCAGGAGAGGAAUAAAGACGCAGACAUAGAGAAUGGACCUGAGGACCCGGGGAGGGGGAAGGGGUAAGCUGGGACAAAGUGAGAGAGUGGCAUGGA